UACGUAGGGGGCAAGCGUUGUCCGGAUUUACUGGGCGUAAAGAGCGUGUAGGCGGCCACGCAGGUCCGUUGUGAAAACUGGAGGCUCAACCUCCAGCUGUCGACGGAAACCGUAUGGCUAGAGUCCGGAAGAGGAGAGUGGAAUUCCUGGUGUAGCGGUGAAAUGCGCAGAUAUCAGGAAGAACACCAAUGGCGAAGGCAGCUCUCUGGGACGGUACUGACGCUAAGGCGCGAAAGCGUGGGGAGCGAACAGG
rnacentral:rRNA from 1 species